AUUGAACGCUGGCGGCAGGCUUAACACAUGCAAGUCGAGCGGAGAGAGGUAGCUUGCUACUGAUCUUAGCGGCGGACGGGUGAGUAAUGCUUAGGAAUCUGCCUAUUAGUGGGGGACAACAUUUCGAAAGGAAUGCUAAUACCGCAUACGUCCUACGGGAGAAAGCAGGGGAUCUUCGGACCUUGCGCUAAUAGAUGAGCCUAAGUCGGAUUAGCUAGUUGGUGGGGUAAAGGCCUACCAAGGCGACGAUCUGUAGCGGGUCUGAGAGGAUGAUCCGCCACACUGGGACUGAGACACGGCCCAGACUCCUACGGGAGGCAGCAGUGGGGAAUAUUGGACAAUGGGCGGAAGCCUGAUCCAGCCAUGCCGCGCGCGUGAAGAAGGCCUUAUGGUUGUAAAGCACUUUAAGCGAGGAGGAGGCUACUUUAGUUAAUACCUAGAGAUAGUGGACGUUACUCGCAGAAUAAGCACCGGCUAACUCUGUGCCAGCCGCCGCAGUAACAC
rnacentral:rRNA from 1 species